rnacentral:misc_RNA from 1 species
GAUGAAGAACGUAGCGAAAUGCGAUAAGUAAUGUGAAUUGCAGAAUUCAGUGAAUCAUCGAAUCUUUGAACGCACAUUGCGCCCGCUAGUAUUCUGGCGGGCAUGCCUGUCUGAGCGUCAUUUCAACCCUCAUGCCCCUAGGGCGUGGUGUUGGGGAUCGGCCAAAGCCCGCGAGGGACGGCCGGCCCCUAAAUCUAGUGGCGGACCCGUCGUGGCCUCCUCUGCGAAGUAGUGAUAUUCCGCAUCGGAGAGCGACGAGCCCCUGCCGUUAAACCCCCAACUUUCCAAGGUUGACCUCAGAUCAGGUAGGAAUACCCGCUGAACUUAAGCAUAUCAAUAAGCGGAGGA